UACAGAGGUCUCGAGCGUUGUUCGGAUUCAUUGGGCGUAAAGGGCGCGUAGGCGGGCUCGCCAGUCAGGGGUGAAAGCCCACGGCUCAACCGUGGAAGUGCCUUUGAUACUGCGAGUCUCGAGGGAGGUAGGGGCGUGCGGAACUUCCGGUGGAGCGGUGAAAUGCGUAGAUAUCGGGAAGAACACCCGUGGCGAAGGCGGCACUCUGGGACGGUACUGACGCUGAGACGCGAAAGCGUGGGGAGCGAGCAGG
rnacentral:rRNA from 1 species